UUUGUGGGCGAUGUUUCCAAUAAGUGAUAACAAAUACUCCGUAAUAUAAAGCUGUUUGUCACAUGUGUAAAGAGUUGGUGAGGUUAAGCAACCGUUUAAAUUUUCACAAAAUUUCUUUCAUUACCUUGUUCUUACCUAAAAUUUCUUCAUUCUUUUUUUUUUUUUUAAAAAAAAGCCUUGAAUCUUCACCCAACAAUUCCCUCAUCUACUCUAACAAAUGUUAGCCGCAUACUCUAAAAUAUCAACUCAUCGCUUCUAUAGUACGAAAUCAAAGCAUCAAUUUUUAGAUCUGUUUCCCUGUUGUUCGACAAUUGUUUCGAUGAGGUACUUUAUCUUUCUUUCUUCAUCUUUCAAGGGUUUUUAGGCUUUAUGUUCGAGUGAUCUGAACAUUCUAAAAUCUCUUGUGUCCUUCUGACUUUACCAAAAGAUGAUGACAUUAUUGAAGAGGUUGGUUUGACGAACAAGAUGCUGUUGAAUAAGAAAUGUUGAUCAUGACUAUGGAUUCCGAAUAAAGAAACUGGUGAAAAACCUUUAUACAAAGGAAUGAAAGAAGGACAUGGGCUUAUUGUUCUUAAGGACAGGAUAAUUAGGAAGUUGGAACCUUUACAAGUGCAAACUGACCAUCAACCCUCCUUGGCUCCUUUGUAGAACAGCCUACUCAAUCGAUUUCUGUAAAGAUUUGAUACAAAAGGAAGAUUGGGAAGUGCCAUUCUCUAGUGCCGUACCUUUCUAUUUUUUUUAGUUGGUUUGAUGACUUCUUGGUUUUGUUUUUUUGGUGCCUGUAUAUCAUGUCAAAAAUAAAACAUGGACCUUUUAUCCGGCUUUCUUGGUAGCAAUUGUUCUCUGGAGAAAGCUGGUGGUACUCAAAAUCUAUUCUUGAUUUAAAGAUCCUUUUUACUUAGUAUUUUAAGACUUUAAGAUCCUUUUUACUUAGUAUUUUAAGAUAUCUAUACGAAGUAUUGUUGCAAAAUAUUAUAAUAGGAAGUGUUAUUAGCCAUUUGGCUCAUGUAUAAUCUUUCAGGAAAACGUGUUGUACCCUUUACCGGCUCA